rnacentral:rRNA from 1 species
UACGUAGGGUGCGAGCGUUGUCCGGAAUUAUUGGGCGUAAAGAGCUCGUAGGCGGUUUGUCACGUCUGCUGUGAAAUCCCGAGGCUCAACCUCGGGCCUGCAGUGGGUACGGGCAGACUGGAGUGCGGUAGGGGAGAAUGGAAUUCCUGGUGUAGCGGUGGAAUGCGCAGAUAUCAGGAGGAACACCAACGGCGAAGGCAGCUCGCUGGGACGGUACUGACGCUGAGGCGCGAAAGCGUGGGGAGCGAACAGG